AAGUGGGGGAAACCCUGAAGCAGCAACGCCGCGUGAGGGAUGAAGGCCUUCGGGUUGUAAACCUCUUUUAUCAGGGACGAUGAUGACGGUACCUGAUGAAUAAGCCACGGCUAACUACGUGCCAGCAGCCGCGGUAAUACGUAGGUGGCAAGCGUUGUCCGGAUUUACUGGGCGUAAAGAGCGCGCAGGCGGUCGUUUAAGUCGAAUGUGAAAGCCCCCGGCUCAACUGGGGAGGGUCAUUCGAUACUGAUCGACUUGAAGGCAGGAGAGGGAAGUGGAAUUCCGGGUGUAGUGGUGAAAUGCGUAGAUAUCCGGAGGAACACCAGUGGCGAAGGCGACUUCCUGGCCUGUUCUUGACGCUGAGGCGCGAAAGCUGGGGGAGCAAACGGGAUUAGAUACCCCGGUAGUCCCAGCCGUAAACGAUGGACACUAGGUGUUGGUGGUAUCAACCCCGCCAGUGCCGUAGCUAACGCAUUAAGUGUCCCGCCUGGGGAGUACGGCCGCAAGGCUA
rnacentral:rRNA from 1 species